CCUGGGUAAACUCAACACUGAGAAAUACAGUAACAGUUGACCUGGAUAAACUCAACACUGAGAAAUACAGUAACAGUUGACCUGGGUAAACUCAACACUGAGAAAUACAGUAACAGUUGACCUGGAUAAACUCAACACUGAGAAAUACAGUAACAGUUGAUUGUCUUGAUCAAGGGUGCAUAAACUCAGGCCCUCGACGUCCACAGUCCUGCUAGGUUAGUGUUUCUCCCUGGUUCUUAUGAUCAACUAAUGAUUGGCUGACGUGUGCACACACCUCGUUUCCCAGCGACAAAUCAAUCUCUGGUAACAAGGCAAGGAUGAAAAAACUGUCCUUUUCACACUACAGAGUCGAUCUAAGCCAAGCUGAACUGGCCUGCAAAGGACAAGGUGAUAAGAAUGGUUAGAUGGUUAGGAUCAGAACAACAGUGUGACUAGGUUAAAGGAGUAGAACCAGAACAGUAUGGUUAUGAUCAGAAUGGCAGUGUGAUUAGGUUAAAGGAGUAGAACCAGAACAGUAUGGUUAUGAUCAGAAUGGCAGUGUGAUUAGGUUAAAGGAGUAGAACCAGACCAGUAUGGUUAGGAUCAGAACGACAGUGUGACUAGGUUAAAGGAGUAGAACCAGAACAGUAUGGUUAGGAUCAGAACGACAGUGUGAUUAGGUUAAAGGAGUAGAACCAGAACAGUAUGGUUAUGAUCAGAAUGGCAGUGUGAUUAGGUUAAAGGAGUAGAACCAGAACAGUAUGGUUAGGAUCAGAACGACAGUGUGAUUAGGUUAAAGGAGUAGAACCAGAACAGUAUGGUUAUGAUCAGAAUGGCAGUGUGAUUAGGUUAAAGGAGUAGAACCAGACCAGUAUGGUUAGGAUCAGAACGACAGUGUGACUAGGUUAAAGGAGUAGAACCAGAACAGUAUGGUUAGGAUCAGAACGAGUGUGAUUAGGUUAAAGGAGUAGAACCAGACCAGUAUGGUUAGGAUCAGAACGACAGUGUGACUAGGUUAAAGGAGUAGAACCAGAACAGUAUGGUUAGGAUCAGAACGAGUGUGAUUAGGUUAAAGGAGUAGAACCAGAACAGUAUGGUUAUGAUCAAAUUCAGCUCCUUACGUUCUUGAACUAAGUUUAGCACCCUAAUAAAAAAACUACAUAUCAGAAUAUAUCAAAUAUAUAUUUUGUGUCUCUCUGGAUCAGAGCCUCUACUUGUCUUACAAGAGUAUUACUAUGCAAUAUACAAGCUGGACUUUAAAGUCUUUCGCUUCCCUCAAUACUCCUCACCUUCAGAAGUGUCUUUGGAGCAGAAUCAAGUCAAACUACAAGAAACCCAAGAAUUACAAGUCAUACUUAUAAUUGACCUGUAAGCAGCUAGUUGAAACUGUCAUCACAGUUCAAGGAACAGGAUCCUGGGUGUGUUAAUACAGCACUUGAACCAUAAGGCACUUCUUACAGUACUUAUCAGUAUAAUGAUAGGUCACCUAUAAUAAGGCACUUCUUACAGUACUUAUCAGUAUAAUGAUA
ensembl:lncRNA